GUGCCAGCCGCCGCGGUAAUACCGGCAGCUCAAGUGAUGUCCCAUAUUAUUGGGCCUAAAGCGUCCGUAGCUGGCCGACCAAGUCUCCCGGGAAAUCCACCCGCCCAACGGGUGGGCGUCCGGUAGAAACUGGCCGGCUUGGAACCGGAAGGCUCAGAGAGUACGUCCGGGGUAGGAGUGAAAUCCUAUAAUCCUGGACGGACCACCAAUGGGGAAACCACGUCGAGAGACCGGACCCGACAGUGAGGGACGAAAGCCAGGGUCUCGAACCGGAUUAGAUACCCUGGUAGUCC
rnacentral:rRNA from 1 species